rnacentral:misc_RNA from 1 species
GGGAGCGGGCUUGCUCGCGAAGAGGCCUGUAGGCUCAAUAUCAAUGUCGACUGUUAUGCCGCCUUCGCGAGCAAGCCCGCUCCC